AACAACAACAAUAAUAAAUAAAUAAAUGAAAUUAAAAAAAAUGAAAUAAUAUGAUUUCUUAAUUUUUUUUUUUUUUACUAAAUGGUGACAUUUGGAACAUUGCUGCCAAUACUUGAGAAAAUUAAGAGAUUUCCUCAUUUUUUCACAUCAUCAAAUACGUUCCCCCUUUUAAAUUCAUCAAUCCAAAACCAAAACCUAUUACCCUCUUUCAAUCGGAGCAAUUUAAAGCCACAAAACUCAAUUUUAGUAGCUGGAAAACCCAUCUUCUUCAUCAUGGCCUUCAUCGUCUUUUUAGACAAAAUUCAUCACGGUUUUGUUGUUGCAAGUUUAGGGUUUACACUUGGGUUCGUUCCUUUCCUUCCAUUAUCUGAAUGGCAAGUGCGAAGUCAAUCAAAUCAUGAUUUGGUAACAAAAUAGCAAAACCCUAAUUCAUUGACCCAUUUAAUUGGUGAUAGUGACAAAGAGGUACAAAAUUGAAUCUAAUGCGAGCAGCUGGAGAAGAACAAUUGACAGUAUAAGGUAAUUUGUUGGGAUUCGAUGGGAGGUGUAUGUAAGAUGUAGAGCCAAUUUGGCUUCGUAGGUAGUUUGUAGAGCCCUAGCCUAUUAACUCUGGGUCAAGCCCUCAAGAACGCAAGUGGGAACAAGAGAUUUAUCGUUGACUCAAUUUUUUUUUAUUCACUUCAUAUUUGAUUUAUCAAUUUUAAUUUUUUCAUGCUAUGAUAAUCUAUGAACUGCAAGAAAGAGUAGCCCUUGCAUCUCUUGAUCUAAAUGGAUAUAUCCAAAAAUGAAAACAGAUUAUUGAUCCACAUGUAAUGUUUAUUUUGAAUAAUUGUUCCUUAGUUUCUUCGUUGUUUGAUUGUAAUAGCGAUUAGUAUUUUUGAAACCAAGUGGCUUGUUUGAAGGAAACUAGUUUGAACUUGCUGAAACAUUUGGAGAAAUGUAGUAAAUUUAAAUUAAUUAAGCUUGCUCUGUUCUAGCUCUAUUUGAUUGUAAUAGUGAUUAGCUUUGCCAAAUGAAUGCACGAUAAUUGUUAUACUAGUCGAUUUUGCUUGUGCUUUAGUUUCCAAAUUUUUCCAUUUGUGAACUUGAAAUGGGAAUUUGGUUGCUUGAAUAGUCUUUGAAAUUGUGUUUUCCAGCUAGGUGAUUCAAGUUUUGUGAAAUUUGCUUUAAUGGAUUCCAAAUGUUAUUGUUUCCCAUUCAUUCUUUUACUAUAUGUUUUUAUGUGGUCUCAUUUUGUGUUAAAUUUUAGCCGAAGAUUCUGGACUUAAAAAUUAAUAUUCUUUGCCUCAUUGCCUAUUCAUGUAAUAUUUUGGUGGAGAGAAUCCUAAGCUUUUAUGUUGUUAUCACUUUUAUUUGUUCCUUUUUUCAGUUAUAUAUUGCAACCACUUGGUGGAAGCACAAGUUGGUAGCAAUUGCAGCCCCAGGAAAUGAGUUUCUACUUUCUAUCAAUUAGUUUCUUGUUAUUGUAAAUUGAGUUGAUAGUAAUGCUGAAUGACCUAUCAUUUUUAUUUGAUUAAGUUUUUUUUAAAUGAUAUUGAUGCUGGAUUAUGAGAUUCUUUUUUCAGAUAAGAAUAGAUUGUUGCCUCACUUAUUCAAAUUAUUUUCUUAGAAUUUCAAUUCCAGGCUUCAAAAAAUUUCAUUGACAUGUAAUGUUUCUUUAAAAAGAAAGAAAUGAAUUUAUUAGUAGGUUAUAGCAAGCCACCAUCUUUUUUUUCAUUGUGAAAAAUUUGCAAGGUUGAUAAAGAUGCAUAUGGUAGAAUCACAGGAGAUGGAAUCAUAACAGUUAAAUAAUAAAUAAGAAAAUGACAAAUAUGUAAAGUCAAUAUUUAAGGAACUAUGCUAAGUAAUUAAUGGUUGAAAUCAAUGGUCGAGUGAUUAUUGCACUAAUAGAGAGUUUUGCAUCUUGAGAUAAGUUGUUAUAGAUUGUUAUUCACCUUUUGUAAUAUCCUUUGCUUAUUUUGUCCUUCUAUUAGUUACUUGCAUUAAGUUAUUUAUUUAUUUAAUGAAUUUUGGUAUUUGCAUGUGCAGGAGUAGUCUUUGUGGUAAUUUGAGAUUUAUUGCUAAUGCUAUUAUAGAGAGAUUGAUUGAAGAAUUGGAUUUGGUUAGAGUUUUUGUUAAUAUUAUGUAAAAUUACCAUUGAGAAAAAAUAGAGAAUAUAAGAAUUACUAUUUUGCAUUAUUAAAUUCUUGUACACUAUGCUUGUUAAAAAUAUUGCAUUAAUUGACAAUUACAUAAGGAUGUUAUUGGAUUCUUUUGUAUUACUAUAUUAUUUAUUUUUAUUAUUUUUAUAUUAAUACAUUUGCAGAGCUUGAAAUUAAAAUGUAUAUAUAAAUUUUUUUUCUUUAAACAAAAUUUUAUAAAAAAAACUUGCAUCUGAAUGUUGUUGAAAAUAACAAGUAAACUAAGGUCUUAACCACAGUUAUUGAGUGUGGUUAAAUGUAUUUUAGCAACAAGCAAAAGACUUUUCACAAUGCACCUGGAAUGUUGUUAAAGAUAGUUCUAUUUAAGACAACAUUAACAUUCACAACGUACAUUACACGUUGUUAAAUCCAUUUUUUUUUCUUGUAGUGGUGGUUGAUUUUAGCGGUGUUGCUAAUAUUAUAUGUUGAUGAAGUUGUUGAUCGUUGGUUGCUAGAGUUGUGAGAAAGCAAAUUGAGAAUGGAUUAAAUGUUUAUUUAUUUGUUAAUUGUUAAUUUUAUUUUAUUUAAUUACUGAUUAUGAUCAAUUAAGUGUUGUUGAUGAAAUUAAGAAUUAUGAUUUAUGAAUUUGAAUUAUGAAUUAUGGUUCAUGAGAUUGUGUUAGGAUUAUAAAUUAUGAGUUAUGAUAAUUCAUACCACAUAAGUUCAAUUAUGAAUUAUGGUUUAUAAGAUCAUGUCACAGAUCAUGAAAAUCUGAGAUAUAAAAUUUCUUAAAAAUUUUUAACUCACCCUGCAAUACUUUGUUUCUUGAUUUUAAGUUUAUCUUCCCUACUUCAAUUUAAAGGCAUGAAGAAGAAAUUCUUAUUUAAGAAGUGGACAAGUUAUCUUCUUUGUUUAGGUUGGAGUACUUUAUGAAAAUAUCAUAUUACUGUAAAUCUAAGGAAUGUGUGUUACUGCAGUAAUCAAAAGUGCAUAUAUAGGUAUAGAAUUGAAACUGAUUAACGAAUGAAGAAAUACACGUAAUAUCGUUUCUAACUAGAAAUUAGAUAGCAUUUGACUUAUAGAAAAACAUAUUUCAGAGAGUUAAGUUCUUAUAAAGAUAUCGUUACACACUCGCUAUAUAAUGUAAAAAUUGAAAAAAAAAAAAAACAAGGCACUGUUCAUCAGUUUUAGUAUGUUAGACUAUUUUCGAUGUACACUUGUGAACAUAGGUAGUAUGUUAUGGUGUUAGUCAAGUUUUUUUUUUUUCUUUUUCUUCUAUUUAGUGCCCAUCAAUUUUAAUUGGUGACUUGAUUUUGAUUGUAAAAUAUGAAUUUCACCUUGAAGGACACAUUUCGUAACUAUUUCAAAUCACAACCAACUUAUCAUUCGAGUGCUCCCAUUCAGAAAAUUCUACCGAAAAACUUUUAACAUCUUGAAAAUCGUUAUUUACAUCUAAAGAACAACAAAUGUUUAUAUUUGAGGUUUUAGAUCUCUUUCAAUCUUGUAAAAAUUAAAAAAAAAAAAGAAUUCUAUCUACUAAAGCCAUCUAAGGCCAUCACAAAAUCCAUCAGGCAAAUGAAGCCACUAUCAUCGAUGACCUCUUUUAAUCUAUCUAUGCAUUCCUCAAAUAUGCAUCUUCCACUUUGUUUUGUGCCUAUAUUUUAACAUACAACUUUUACAUGUCUAUGGACUCGCUUGUAACUUACGCUUCAUGCUUUUAUUUCUUGACGAGCCGAUUAUACUCUGUAACAGCAACCACUUGUGUUCCUUCUCUUCCUUGUGGUCAAAUGCAUUUUUUCUAACACUAGUUUAAAGCGAUAUCUCCCUUCAAUUACACUAAAAAAAAUUAAA
rnacentral:lncRNA from 1 species